CGCUCCCUGCUGUACUCGAGAGUUGAUCGGGUAUUUUCUUGAGCCUAAUCACUACCCUGGGAGCAUAAAAUGCCCACUUGUGUGCAUGUCCACCUCGUAGUGGAAAGCCUUAUAGUGACAUUGUUGUUCCCACUUGAACCUUUUGGUUCAAGAACAAAGAUCAAUAACGAUACAAGUGGGGAGCGC
rnacentral:other from 1 species